UAUGAAAGGUGAUGGCUUAGUGUGUGA
rnacentral:sRNA from 1 species